AAAACUUUCAACAACGGAUCUCUUGGUUCCAGCAUCGAUGAAGAACGCAGCGAAAUGCGAUAAAUAAUGUGAAUUGCAGAAUUCAGUGAAUCAUCGAGUCUUUGAACGCACAUUGCGCCCCUCGGUAUUCCGGGGGCAUGCCUGUUCGAGCGUCAUUA
rnacentral:rRNA from 2 species